rnacentral:rRNA from 1 species
AUUGAACGCUUGCGGCAGGCCUAACACAUGCAAGUCGAACGAGUGGCGGACGGGUGAGUAAUGUCUGGGAAACUGCCCGAUUGAGGGGGAUAACUACUGGAAACUGUAGCUAAUACCGCAUACCAUCGGAUGUGCCCAGAUGGGAUUAGCUAGUUGGUGGGGUAACGGCUUACCUAGGUGACGAUCCCUAGCUGGUCUGAGAUGAUGACGAGCCACGCUGGAACUGAGACACGGUCGAGACGCCUACGAGAGGCAGCAGUGGGGAAGAUUGGACAAUGGGCGAAGGCCUGAUGCAGCGAUGCCGCGUGUAUGAAGAAGGCCUGCGGGUUGGAAAGUACUUUCAGCGGGGAGGCGUUACUCGCAGAAGAAGCACCGGCUAACUCCGUGCCAGCAGCCGCGGUAAUAC